rnacentral:lncRNA from 1 species
CCCCCUCACCGCCCGCGGCCGGGUCCCCGAGGAGCCGCCCGGCCGACCCCGCCCCUGCCGAAGCCCCUCCUGGCGGGGAUGCGAGGUCAGAUGAUGCCCCAGCGGGGAUCUAAUUGGCUUCUCCGGAAGAAGGGCCCGGCUGGUAACUAACAAAGCCCAUGGGUGACUCCGUCGCCCUCGCGUCGCCGCCGGCUGCCCCCCACCUGCCGUGGCCUCGCCCCUUCUCCCGCGGCUUGGCGCUCUCUUGCCAGGCGGGCGGCCGGCCUCUCAGGACUGGGGCCCAAAUCGCUAACCGUCUCCUCACACACCCGCCGCCAGAGUGGGGAUCCGCCCCCUCUUCCUGGCCCCUGGGAGCCGCCCGGUGUAGCCUGUCGGUUGUCAAGUGCACGUGUGCAUGUUCAUUAAUGCAUGCCCAAGUUACAGACGGGAAGUCUGGGGCAGAACCACCACCGACUCUAUGACAGGUCGCUCUGCUGUCAUUCUGUGCCCCCAAAAGAAGAUCUGCGCUUGGAUGAGACUGCUUUUCAAAUUCAGAGGAGAGAUAAAUUAGUCUCUCUCUUCAUUCAUUUUCUAAAAUUCGGACUUUGGUCUCUGACUCACCCAGCAGGCUGCCAUGGAGAAGAGAGAAUCCUGCGAACCAACCCCCGGCCAGGAGGGCUACCAUGGGAAAUGCUUGCUAAACUCCUGGGAAUAUGAGACAGUCUUUGAAGAUUUGAGAAGAUUUG